AUUGAACGCUGGCGGCAGGCCUAACACAUGCAAGUCGAACGGUAACAGGAAGAAGCUUGCUUCUUUGCUGACGAGUGGCGGACGGGUGAGUAAUGUCUGGGAAACUGCCUGAUGGAGGGGGAUAACUACUGGAAACGGUAGCUAAUACCGCAUAACGUCGCAAGACCAAAGGGGGGGACCUUCGGGCCUCUUGCCAUCGGAUGUGCCCAGAUGGGAUUAGCUAGUAGGUGGGGUAACGGCUCACCUAGGCGACGAUCCCUAGCUGGUCUGAGAGGAUGACCAGCCACACUGGAACUGAGACACGGUCCAGACUCCUACGGGAGGCAGCAGUGGGGAAUAUUGCACAAUGGGCGCAAGCCUGAUGCAGCCAUGCCGCGUGUAUGAAGAAGGCCUUCGGGUUGUAAAGUACUUUCAGCGGGGAGGAAGGGAGUAAAGUUAAUACCUUUGCUCAUUGACGUUACCCGCAGAAGAAGCACCGGCUAACUCCGUG
rnacentral:rRNA from 1 species